rnacentral:rRNA from 1 species
AGCGAACGCUGGCGGCAGGCCUAACACAUGCAAGUCGAACGAACUCUUCGGAGUUAGUGGCGGACGGGUGAGUAACACGUGGGAACGUGCCCUUUGGUACGGAAUAACUCAGGGAAACUUGAGCUAAUACCGUAUGUGCCCUUCGGGGGAAAGAUUUAUCGCCAUUGGAGCGGCCCGCGUCUGAUUAACUAGUUGGUGAGGUAAAGGCUCACCAAGGCUACGAUCAGUAGCUGGUCUGAGAGGAUGAUCAGCCACAUUGGGACUGAGACACGGCCCAAACUCCUACGGGAGGCAGCAGUGGGGAAUCUUGCGCAAUGGGCGAAAGCCUGACGCAGCCAUGCCGCGUGAAUGAUGAAGGUCUUAGGAUUGUAAAAUUCUUUCACCGGGGACGAUAAUGACGGUACCCGGAGAAGAAGCCCCGGCUAACUUCGUG